rnacentral:rRNA from 1 species
UACCGAAAGUGUGACGGGGUUACCCAAAGUGUUCAAUUUUGAACUGUGGUAGGUGAGUAAUGUCCCCUACUAGAAAGGAGAGGGCAAGGCUGGUGCCAGCCGCCGCGGUAAAACCAGCUCUUCAAGUGGUCGGGAUAAUUAUUGGGCUUAAAGUGUCCGUAGCCGGUUUAGUAAGUUCCUGGUAAAAUCGGGUAGCUUAACUAUCUGUAUGCUAGGAAUACUGCUAUACUAGAGGGCGGGAGAAGUCUGAGGUACUACAGGGGUAGGGGUGAAAUCUUAUAAUCCUUGUAGGACCACCAGUGGCGAAGGCGUCAGACUGGAACGCGCCUGACGGUGAGGGACGAAAGCCAGGGGAGCGAACCGGAUUAGAUACCCGGGUAGUCCUGGCCGUAAACGAUGCAUACUAGGUGAUGGCACGGCCAUGAGCCAUGUCAGUGCCGUAGGGAAACCGUUAAGUGUGCCGCCUGGGAAGUACGGUCGUACCGAAAGUUACCGAAAGUUACCGAAAGUGAGCACA